GAGUACAGAGGGGAGUUGAUAAACUAUGAAGAAUCACAAAGGAGGAGGAGACUGUAUCAUAGUGCAUGUGCUGUCUUCAUGUUUGACUUCUUGUGGCAAGAAAGAUGGUGGUGUAUCGAUGCAUCCCGAGAAGAUAACAGUCUUGGAAGAUUAGUCAAUGAUGACCACAAGAAUCCAAGCUGUACAAUGAAAAAGAUAUUGGUGGAUGGAAAGCCACAUCUGUGCUUAUUUGCAGUGAAAGACAUAAAUCCUGGAGAGGAAAUAACUUACAACUAUGGAGGGACUGACUGGCCAUGGAGGGAGAAGGCUAACAAAGAAUCAUCUGUGACUGAGGCUGUCGAAGUUGAGCAUGCUGCCUCACCGGAUCAAGCUCCGUCCAAGUCCUCCGAGAAAAAGGCUAGCAAAGAAUCAUCUGUGACUGAG